UACGAAGGGGGCUAGCGUUGCUCGGAAUCACUGGGCGUAAAGCGCACGUAGGCGGACUCUUAAGUCGGGGGUGAAAUCCUGGAGCUCAACUCCAGAACUGCCUUCGAUACUGAGAGUCUCGAGUCCGGAGAGAGGUGAGUGGAACUGCGAGUGUAGAGGUGAAAUUCGUAGAUAUUCGCAAGAACACCAGUGGCGAAGGCGGCUCACUGGCU
rnacentral:rRNA from 1 species